rnacentral:rRNA from 1 species
UGGCAGUCAGAGGCGAUGAAGGACGUGCUAAUCUGCGAUAAGCGUCGGUAAGGUGAUAUGAACCGUUAUAACCGGCGAUUUCCGAAUGGGGAAACCCAGUGUGAUUCGUCACACUAUCAUUAACUGAAUCCAUAGGUUAAUGAGGCGAACCGGGGGAACUGAAACAUCUAAGUACCCCGAGGAAAAGAAAUCAACCGAGAUUCCCCCAGUAGCGGCGAGCGAACGGGGAGCAGCCCAGAGCCUGAAUCAGUGUGUGUGUUAGUGGAAGCGUCUGGAAAGGCGUGCGAUACAGGGUGACAGCCCCGUACACAAAAAUGCACAUACUGUGAGCUCGAUGAGUAGGGCGGGACACGUGGUAUCCUGUCUGAAUAUGGGGGGACCAUCCUCCAAGGCUAAAUACUCCUGACUGACCGAUAGUGAACCAGUACCGUGAGGGAAAGGCGAAAAGAACCCCGGCGAGGGGAGUGAAAAAGAACCUGAAACCGUGUACGUACAAGCAGUGGGAGCACGCUUAGGCGUGUGACUGCGUACCUUUUGUAUAAUGGGUCAGCGACUUAUAUUCUGUAGCAAGGUUAACCGAAUAGGGGAGCCGAAGGGAAACCGAGUCUUAACUGGGCGUUAAGUUGCAGGGUAUAGACCCGAAACCCGGUGAUCUAGCCAUGGGCAGGUUGAAGGUUGGGUAACACUAACUGGAGGACCGAACCGACUAAUGUUGAAAAAUUAGCGGAUGACUUGUGGCUGGGGGUGAAAGGCCAAUCAAACCGGGAGAUAGCUGGUUCUCCCCGAAAGCUAUUUAGGUAGCGCCUCGUGAAUUCAUCUCCGGGGGUAGAGCACUGUUUCGGCAAGGGGGUCAUCCCGACUUACCAACCCGAUGCAAACUGCGAAUACCGGAGAAUGUUAUUACGGGAGACACACGGCGGGUGCUAACGUCCGUCGUGAAGAGGGAAACAACCCAGACCGCCAGCUAAGGUCCCAAAGUCAUGGUUAAGUGGGAAACGAUGUGGGAAGGCCCAGACAGCCAGGAUGUUGGCUUAGAAGCAGCCAUCAUUUAAAGAAAGCGUAAUAGCUCACUGGUCGAGUCGGCCUGCGCGGAAGAUGUAACGGGGCUAAACCAUGCACCGAAGCUGCGGCAGCGACGCUUAUGCGUUGUUGGGUAGGGGAGCGUUCUGUAAGCCUGUGAAGGUGUGCUGUGAGGUAUGCUGGAGGUAUCAGAAGUGCGAAUGCUGACAUAAGUAACGAUAAAGCGGGUGAAAAGCCCGCUCGCCGGAAGACCAAGGGUUCCUGUCCAACGUUAAUCGGGGCAGGGUGAGUCGACCCCUAAGGCGAGGCCGAAAGGCGUAGUCGAUGGGAAACAGGUUAAUAUUCCUGUACUUGGUGUUACUGCGAAGGGGGGACGGAGAAGGCUAUGUUGGCCGGGCGACGGUUGUCCCGGUUUAAGCGUGUAGGCUGGUUUUCCAGGCAAAUCCGGAAAAUCAAGGCCGAGGCGUGAUGACGAGGCACUACGGUGCUGAAGCAACAAAUGCCCUGCUUCCAGGAAAAGCCUCUAAGCAUCAGGUAACAUCAAAUCGUACCCCAAACCGACACAGGUGGUCAGGUAGAGAAUACCAAGGCGCUUGAGAGAACUCGGGUGAAGGAACUAGGCAAAAUGGUGCCGUAACUUCGGGAGAAGGCACGCUGAUACGUAGGUGAAGCGACUUGCUCGUGGAGCUGAAAUCAGUCGAAGAUACCAGCUGGCUGCAACUGUUUAUUAAAAACACAGCACUGUGCAAACACGAAAGUGGACGUAUACGGUGUGACGCCUGCCCGGUGCCGGAAGGUUAAUUGAUGGGGUUAGCGCAAGCGAAGCUCUUGAUCGAAGCCCCGGUAAACGGCGGCCGUAACUAUAACGGUCCUAAGGUAGCGAAAUUCCUUGUCGGGUAAGUUCCGACCUGCACGAAUGGCGUAAUGAUGGCCAGGCUGUCUCCACCCGAGACUCAGUGAAAUUGAACUCGCUGUGAAGAUGCAGUGUACCCGCGGCAAGACGGAAAGACCCCGUGAACCUUUACUAUAGCUUGACACUGAACAUUGAGCCUUGAUGUGUAGGAUAGGUGGGAGGCUUUGAAGUGUGGACGCCAGUCUGCAUGGAGCCGACCUUGAAAUACCACCCUUUAAUGUUUGAUGUUCUAACGUGGACCCGUGAUCCGGGUUGCGGACAGUGUCUGGUGGGUAGUUUGACUGGGGCGGUCUCCUCCUAAAGAGUAACGGAGGAGCACGAAGGUUGGCUAAUCCUGGUCGGACAUCAGGAGGUUAGUGCAAUGGCAUAAGCCAGCUUGACUGCGAGCGUGACGGCGCGAGCAGGUGCGAAAGCAGGUCAUAGUGAUCCGGUGGUUCUGAAUGGAAGGGCCAUCGCUCAACGGAUAAAAGGUACUCCGGGGAUAACAGGCUGAUACCGCCCAAGAGUUCAUAUCGACGGCGGUGUUUGGCACCUCGAUGUCGGCUCAUCACAUCCUGGGGCUGAAGUAGGUCCCAAGGGUAUGGCUGUUCGCCAUUUAAAGUGGUACGCGAGCUGGGUUUAGAACGUCGUGAGACAGUUCGGUCCCUAUCUGCCGUGGGCGCUGGAGAACUGAGGGGGGCUGCUCCUAGUACGAGAGGACCGGAGUGGACGCAUCACUGGUGUUCGGGUUGUCAUGCCAAUGGCACUGCCCGGUAGCUAAAUGCGGAAGAGAUAAGUGCUGAAAGCAUCUAAGCACGAAACUUGCCCCGAGAUGAGUUCUCCCUGACCCUUUAAGGGUCCUGAAGGAACGUUGAAGACGACGACGUUGAUAGGCCGGGUGUGUAAGCGCAGCGAUGCGUUGAGCUAACCGGUACUAAUGAACCGUGAGGCUUAACCUUACAACGCCGAAG